CAAUAGCGCAUAUUAAAGUUGCUGCAGUUAAAAAGCUCGUAGUUGCAUUUCCGAGGCAAGGGAUUAGUCCGACCUUUGGUGGGUAUUUAAUCCUCUUGCCCCGUCCUUGAGUGGUGCUUCUUGGUAUUAAGUUAUCGAGGAGAUAGCCGCUCAUCGUUUACUGUGAGAAAAUUAGAGUGUUCAAAGCAGGCUUAUGCCGUUGAAUAUAUUAGCAUGGAAUAAUAAGAUAGGACCUCGGUACUAUUUUGUUGGUUUGAGAACCAAGGUAAUGAUGAAUAGGGACAGUUGGGGGUAUUCGUAUUCAGUUGUCAGAGGUGAAAUUCUUAGAUUUACGGAAGACGAACUACUGCGAANGNAUUUACNAAGGAUGUUUNCAUUA
rnacentral:rRNA from 1 species